rnacentral:rRNA from 1 species
UACGUAGGGCGCAAGCGUUAUCCGGAAUUAUUGGGCGUAAAGAGCUCGUAGGCGGUUUGUCGCGUCUGCCGUGAAAGUCCGGGGCUCAACUCCGGAUCUGCGGUGGGUACGGGCAGACUAGAGUGAUGUAGGGGAGACUGGAAUUCCUGGUGUAGCGGUGAAAUGCGCAGAUAUCAGGAGGAACACCGAUGGCGAAGGCAGGUCUCUGGGCAUUAACUGACGCUGAAGCUCGAAAGCUAGGGGAGCAAACGGG